UUUGAUCCUGGCUCAGAACGAACGCUGGCGGCAGGCCUAACACAUGCAAGUCGAGCGCCCCGCAAGGGGAGCGGCGGAGGGGUGAGUAACACGUGGGAAUUUUCCUCAAGGUACGGAACAACUCAGGGAAACUUGGGCUAAUACCGUAUGAUGCAGAGAUGCCAAAGAUUUAUCGCCUUGGGAUAAGCCCGCGUCAGAUUAGGUAGUUGGUGGGGUAAUGGUCUACCAGGCCUGUGAUCUGUAGCUGGUCUGACAGGACGAUCAGCCACAUUGGGGCUGAGACACGGCCCAAACUCCUACGGGAGGCAGCAGUGGGCAAUCUUGCGCAAUGGACGAAAGACUGACGCACCCAUGCCGCGUGAAUGAUGAAGGGCGUAGGAUUGUAAAGUUCUUUAGCCUGUGACGAAGAUGACGGUAACAGGAGAAUAAGUCCCGGCUAACUUCGUGCCAGCAGCCGCGGUAAUACGAAGGGGGCUAGCGUUGUUCUGGAAUUACUGGGCGUAAAGCGCGCGUACGCCGUUUUACAAGCCAGAGGUGAAAUGCCUGAGCUCAACUUAUGA
rnacentral:rRNA from 1 species